ACACGAUUCUUCUUCCUCUCGUCGCUCUCUUUCACGUUAUUCUGCUUAAGGUCUUCAAGUUCUUCACCUAAGAGAUCAUCAUUCUCCAAGUUCUCUCCUGCGUCUAGAAGGGAAUUUUCGAUUUCACGAUAAUCUCUUCAUCUUCUAUCGCUCAGUCAAGAUCAAGAUGAUCCUCCUCAGGAUUAUUCUCCUCCCAAUCCAUGUCGCCAUCAUCCGUCACUCCUUGCUAUGUGUCGUUGACAUCUUCCUGCAUAAACUCCUCUUCCUCCUCCCAGGUUUCUUCACUCUUAAUCUCCAUUUCUGAUGCGUUAAUUUCUGUAUUUUCAGGAUUAGCACUCGGUAAUUCUCCAAUAUGAAUUGCAUUGGAGAAUCUUGCUUCUAAAGGAGCUUCUUGAGCAUGAUUUUCCUCUUCUUCCACAGUUUGAUCAUACCAACUCUUCUCCUUGUCCAGCUGCUUCGAUAUAACCAAGAGAGCUUCCCCAAUAGUAAGUUUCUCAGAGGCGAUCACGUGCUUCAAUUGAAUGUAGUCGCCUCUCUUUUUCAGAUUCAAGCGAAAAGGUCUUUCUCUGUUAAGAGCUUGAGAAGAAACUCCUUGUUUUACUCGUAGUGAAGAGAUCAAAGGAUCAGAGACCGUCAAUUGCGAGUCCGAGACAUGGGAUAAACCAGCAGAUUUUGAUGCUGCAGCUGGAGAUUUGUUCUGGUUCAUCCUGCGGGUCACAGCUCUUUCUUUUGAUGAGGAUGGCUUGUGAUUAUGGUUCUCCAGAGUGUCAUCAUAACGUCUUUUGCGACCUGAAUCCUUAAAGGGAGGGAUCUCGCGGACUGAAGAAGGGUUCUUAAUCUCUGAAGGUCUCAUAAGUUUCUCCCGUGUUCGGGGAAUUGAAGCUGUGCUCCAUUCAAUUCGUCGAUCAUAGCCCUGAGAGUCAUCCCUAGUCGUAUGAUGAUUUGAGUAGCGAGCAUUUGCAGGUGGGUUCCAGUUCUGAGAUCGAGAAUUGUCAAUACGACGCCAAGCAUGUUUAGAAUUAGCAUUUACAACUUGUUUGCCUUCUGUUUUUCUCCUGCGGUAGUCAGAGGUUGUUGGGUCUUCUUUAGCUUGUGUUGGCUUGACCAAGUCAGGUCUCCACCACGAAGGGUGAAUCCUUCCAUUUGUGCUGAGCUGGAGAGUUGCAGUAGGAGUAGAAAGAGUUAACUUCUUCCCUGAAGUCAGCUUUCCCAAGCUUUUGUCAUUAUCUUUUUCAAACGGUAACGUCUCCUUCUGAGCCACAAGGUUUAAAGGACAAGAUUCUUGUUCGUUGUAGAUCCUAUGACAAAGCUUACACCACCUAAAGAGUCUCUUGGAGCCGAGAGAUACCCAAACAAGCUCACCCGAAGGGAUUUAAGUCUUUUUGCGGAAUCUCAAGGGUUCAUCUGCCUUACUAGUGACUGUGUUAUUUUAAAGAUUGGAGAUGUACAACUUUUGUAAACUGUUGUCGUACUAAAUCGAACAAGACAAAGUUGAAAGACUUGUAGGUAACUGAAAACAACGGAAACAUGAGGAAUCUGCUUAUUAAGCCCAGUUGCGAUUCUCUCUUUAUUUGUUUCUUCUCUUCUCUUGUAAACAAGUGUAUCUUUUUGGUUCAUUUGUCUCUAACCUUUUUUGUAAUACAUUCUUCUUUUACUUAGAAAGUUCAUGUGCUUAACUCUGUCCAAAGUUGCAAUCCAAACUAGUAGUAAUCUUUCAUCGGAAGCGAUAUAAACCCAAAUCAAUCGUUCUUUAUUAUCCUU